CAAUAGCGUAUAUUUAAGUUGUUGCAGUUAAAAAGCUCGUAGUUGGAUUUCGGGUGGGACGCAGCGGUCUCGCAUUGCGUUUGUACUGCUGCAGCCCUCCUUCUUGCCGGGGGCGGCCUCUCGGACUUCACUGUCUGGGGGUCAGAAUCGGCGAUGUUACUUUGAGUAAAUUAGAGUGUUCAAAGCAAGCUUACGCUCUGAAUAUAAUAGCAUGGGAUAACACGACAGGACUCUGGCCUAUCGUGUUGGUCUAUAGGACCAGAGUAAUGAUUAAGAGGGACAGUCGGGGGCAUUCGUAUUCCGUUGUCAGAGGUGGAAUUCUUGGAUUUACGGAAGACGAACAUCUGCGAAAGCAUUUGCCAAGGAUGUUUNCAUUG
rnacentral:rRNA from 1 species